UCGAUCCUGCAACAUCAUCAGGAUCAACCUGCACGCAUCGCAGCUGCCCUAGCAGUACCUGGGAAAUCCAGAGAGGUAAGCAGGAUUAAUCCUAUGUUCCCGUAUAAUUAUAUAUUAUAUAUUCAAUUAAUAUUGUAUUCCGCCUAUUCCUAAUUCAAAUCACAAUCUUUCCUCUAAAAACUUCCUCUUAUUUACCUUUAUUAUUCCUCUUAUUUUAUAAAGUAUGUUAUAAUUAUAAUUGUGCUUACAGAGCUUGCUGAAAAGAAGCAGCAGAGGACCAACACAAUCUACAAGGACAACAAGUGGCCUUUCAACUUGCUGCAAGGAGUUCCAGCUACUGCUGAGAUCUGGGCUACGCCAAGAGCUUGCUGAAAUAAAGAAGCUGCAGAGGACCACAACAUCCAAGUUGCUGUCAGGAGUUCCAGCUACUACUGCAAGAUCUGGGCUACGCCAAGAGCAAAAUGUCGAAGAAUACUGGAGCAAUUCCAGUGUCCGCUGCACAUUCCAAGAUAUCGGAGUUGAUGCCAUCCACCCCCUCAAGGAGCUUCUUCGCUCAGCCCGCUGGCCAAAUGGCCGUUGCACUGCCCCUAAACCACACGCCAAGAAAAACAAGAAGAAUAAGAAAGAUAAAAAAGAGAAGAAUAUAAAGGACAAGAAGAAUAAAAAUGAGAAGAAGAAGGACAAGCGCUCUAA